rnacentral:misc_RNA from 1 species
GCAAACUUGGUCAUUUAGAGGAAGUAAAAGUCGUAACAAGGUUUCCGUAGGUGAACCUGCGGAAGGAUCAUUAUUGAAUAAUUUGCCUUGAUAGGUUGUAGCUGGCCUUUCGAGGCAUGUGCACGCCUGUCUUGACUCUAUUCAUCCACCUGUGCACCUUUUGUAGUUCUUUACUUUCUGAGGUUGAAAGCUUUUAUUCAGUUGAAACACACUGGAUUUGAGGAUCGCUUAUUACUGGCUUUCCUCUAACUGGCCUACUCUGAAAGAGAGAACUAUGUACUUUAUCACAAACCAUAUAGCAUGUUGCCAGAAUGUAAUCAAUGGGCCUUUGUGCCUAUAAAACCUUAUACAACUUUCAGCAACGGAUCUCUUGGCUCUCGCAUCGAUGAAGAACGCAGC